rnacentral:lncRNA from 1 species
AUGGUGUGGGCCCAGCACCAUUUCUCCACCUUGCUACCGGAAGAAAGUUGGUCUGCGAUGUCAGCCUGUCAGGAUUUAAAAGAUGGCGAGCUUGCCGAAGAAGGUGCCUUUUUCCGCCAUGUUGAAGGUGAGGUUGGCACCCAUGGCGUCGACGGGGAUCUGAAAGAAGUGCUUGAGCAUGUGGAGGUUGGUGGACUUGCCGAAGUUGGGUGGCGCCACUAGGACGAGCUGCUCGCGGGUGUCCAGGAAGUGUUUGAUGAACUCCGUUUUAUCGACGAACGACUCACGGCCGGCCACCUCCCGAAAGGGCCACCACCCGUCCUCUCUCUCAUCUUGGUAAAUCUUCUGCCGAACAGAGGUUUCAGGUCGUUACAGGGUGGCUUGAAACGUAAGAAAGAAAUGAAAGAUUGGAAAUUUCAGUUAAAUAUUUCAUGAAAUCCCACGAGGCCGCGAAAUAUUUCAUAUAUUUCAGGGACCAGAGUGUGCAACUCGCACUCAAAUACCUACUCAAAAAUAGAAGAAGGUCACAGUUUUUAAAUUUUGCGAAACAUGAAAAGGAACCGGUAUUUUUCAAUGUAUUUCAUACAUACAUAGAGCCGCUUUUAUAGCGCCGCCUCGCGCUCUGCGACGCCCAAUCGCCAUUGCCCCCUAUCCUCCCAGAGAUCAUCAGGCAUUUGGCACCUUCUGAUCUCCUCCUCCACCCCUUGUCAACAACCUUUCACAGGACGUCCACGCCGUCGCCUUCCGGGAGAAAUAUAUCAAUAUAUAUUUCAUACAUUUCUAAAAUAUCAUGAAAUAUUUCACGUGAAAUUUCAAGAUUUUAUUUUUCAUGAAAUUUUGCCACACUGGGUCGUCAGCCCUCCGUUACAGAUAGAGACAACAAUAAAUUAUGUCAUAGCCCUGCUCUGCCGUGCUAAGGAAGAAGGCUGUAUGAACAUUCAAGAGUUACCAAAUUUGCUCUGAUGAAACAUGUUUUUUCUCGAGAUUAAUCCAUAUUUUUCCUUGAAAUUUCCAGAUAUUUUAGAUUAAAUUGAGAAAAGUAUGGUAUGAAAAUUUAAGAGAAAAAAAUCUUGACAACUUCUCCCAUGAAUUCAUAUUUCGUCAGAGGAAAUUUGGCAACAUUUAACGACCGACGGAGCGUCACGUAUUCCUAUUUGAUAUAUGUCAGAUGAUAUAUGUUUGAUAUUAUAUUUCCUAUAUGUUAUCUGUCCUAGAAAAUUGCAUCAAUGUCGUAUUUCAAAAUUCCUCAUGCACAUAGGCUACUUGAAUGUCCAUUCAUCCGUUAAUUGACGACAUUUUGCAACACGGUAUUACUAUUUUCUGCCAAAGUUUAGAAACAAUAUAUGUGUAAUCAGUUUUCCCAUGCAGGUAAGUGAUUUUAUGGAUGAGCCAGAAAUAGUGGUUCUUAACAGCAAAUUUUUGACAAAAUAUUGAGGAGUUUGCAAACGAUAGGGUAAAAAACAGUUUCAAAGUAUGUCAACAAGUAUCGAAGGUUAGCUUACCGCCAAAGGUCGUAAACUAUCAAGUUCUGGUUUUGAGGUGGGAAAUGGACAAGCAUAUUCAUCAGGCGGUGCAAUAAAUGCAGAUGUCUGUAAGAAAAAAGAAAACGCAUUUAAAAUUGAAAAUAAAUAACGAAUUGAUGGACAUAAAAUAAACUAUGUGACAUCUCAUGGAGAGAAGGGCCAUAGGACACAAAUGCACAUUUUUUAGGAGAGGCAUUAUGUAAUAUAUAAGCUGUAUGGGUUUAAAAACGAAUUAUAUCAGAGGUAUAGGUGUAAAUAAUGGAAUAAUAAAAUUAAGUCUAAAAUAAAUGAUUUAAUUUAUUGCAGAUUUAUAUGCACAUUACAUAGGUACAAAGAAUAAUGCGGAAUGUCAUCAAGGAGUCUUCUCAUGCUUGAAUGUGUCUGAUUUCAUUAAGAUUUGAUUUGAUAUCAGUUCCAUGUUGCGCUGGUAAAAAUAUAAUUCGAAUCAGUAUUAUAAAAUAUGAAAUUCCCUUCAUCAUGAAAAAUAAAUAUAUUUAUUACAAUGUUGGUUUGUUUCGAAUAUUCAAACUUCAAGCAUUAGUUCCAACCUCAUGAUGGUUGGAAUCCCUUUGAAUUGCAUGAAGGUAACAGAGGCUAGCAUCCCGCUCAACAGUAUAAUGACU